rnacentral:rRNA from 1 species
GACGACGCUGGCGGCGUGCCUAACACAUGCAAGUCGAACGGGAUCCAUGGAGUGCUUGCACUCCGGAAGAUCUAGUGGCGAACGGGUGAGUAACACGUGGGAAACCUGCCCCAGACUCUGGGAUAACCUCGGGAAACCGAAGCUAAUACCGGAUAUUCUCCUUUGGUCGCAUGGCCAGUUGAGGAAAGUUUUCGGUCUGGGAGGGUCUCGCGGCCUAUCAGCUAGUUGGUGGGGUAACGGCCCACCAAGGCUACGACGGGUAGCUGGUUUGAGAGAACGAUCAGCCACACUGGAACUGAGACACGGUCCAGACUCCUACGGGAGGCAGCAGUGGGGAAUCUUGCGCAAUGGGCGAAAGCCUGACGCAGCAACGCCGCGUGCGGGAUGAAGGCCUUCGGGUUGUAAACCGCUUUCAGCAGGGACGAAAAUGACGGUACCUGCAGAAGAAGCCCCGGCUAACUACGUG